AUGGAAGAAGAGAUUGCCACGCUGGUCAUUGACAAUGGUCCGGCAUGUGCAAAGCUGGCUUUGCUGGGGACGAUGCACCCCGAGCCGUGUUUCCCUCCAUCGACACCAGGGCGUGGUGGUGGGCAUGGGCCAGAAGGACUCCUACGUGGGUGAUGAGGCCCAGAGCAAGCACGGCAUCUUGACCCUGAAGUACCCUAUCGAGCAUGGCAUUGUCACCAACUGGGAUGACAUGGAGAAAAUCUGGCACCACACUUUCUACAAUGAGCUGCGCGUGGCCCCAGAGGAGCACCCAGUGCUGCUGACCGAGGCCCCCCUGAAUCCUAAGGCCAACAGAGAGAAGAUGACUCAGAUUAUGUUUGAGACCUUCAACACCCCGGCCAUGUACGUGGCCAUCCAGGCCAUGCUGUCCCUCUACGCCUCUGGGCUCAACACUGGCAUUGUCAUGGACUCUGGAGACGGGGUCACCCACACGGUGCCCAUCUAUGAGGGCUACGCCCUCCCCCACGCCAUCCUGCGUCUGGACCUGGCUGGCUGGGACCUGACCGACUACCUAAUGAAGAUCCUCACAGAGCGUGGCUACAGCUUCACCACCACGGCUGAGCGGGAAAUUGUGCGCGACAUCAAGGAGAAGCUGUGCUACGUUGCCCUGGACUUCGAGCAGGAGAUGGCCACCGCCGCAUCGUCCUCUUCCCUGGAGAAGAGUUACGAGCUGCCUGAUGGCCAGGUCAUCACCAUCGGCAGUGAGCGGUUCCGGUGGCCGGAGGCGCUGUUCCAGCCUUCUUUCCUGGGCAUGGAAUAUUGCGGCAUCCACGAGACCACCUUCAACUCCAUCAUGAAGUGUGACGUGGACAUCCGCAAAGACCUGUAUGCCAACACGGUGCUGUCUGGCAGCACCACCAUGCACCCAGGCAUUGCCGACAGGAUGCAGAAAGAGAUCACCGCCCUGGCACCCAGCACCAUGAAGAUCAAG